AUUGAACGCUGGCGGCAGGCUUAACACAUGCAAGUCGAGCGGGGUGAUGGUGCUUGCACUAUCACUUAGCGGCGGACGGGUGAGUAAUGCUUAGGAAUCUGCCUAUUAGUGGGGGCCAACAUCUCGAAAGGGAUGCUAAUACCGCAUACGUCCUACGGGAGAAAGCAGGGGAUCACUUGUGACCUUGCGCUAAUAGAUGAGCCUAAGUCGGGUUCGCUAGUUGGGGGGGUAAAGGCCUACCAAGGCGACGAUCUGUAGCGGGUCUGGGAGGAUGGUCCGCCACACUGGGACUGAGACACGGCCCAGACUCCUACGGGAGGCAGAAGUGGGGAAUAUUGGACAAUGGGGGGAACCCUGAUCCAGCCAUGCCGCGUGUGUGAAGAAGGCCUUAUGGUUGUAAAGCACUUUAAGCGAGGAGGAGGUUCUUUUGGUUAAUACCCAAGAUGAGUGGACGUUACUCGCAGAAUAAGCACCGGCUAACUCUGUGCCAGCAGCCGCCGUAA
rnacentral:rRNA from 1 species